GGAAAAGAAGGUGAACCAGCCGCUUGAGUGCUGGAAACAAAGUGGGUUCUCUUCAUUUCCCCGCGCCGAGACGCUCAGGAACCGUAACCUCAACGAAGCCGGUUAUGGGGGGUGGAUUUGUGGCGUCCAGGACCAAAGAAGUUCAAAGGGUUUGGAGCGAUGAAGCAAAAAUGGACACAGAUUUGGAAGUUCUUGAAAGACUUAGCAAACUGACUUCUAAUAGUUUGUACCAGUUAGCAGAAUCCGGGACUUCUAGAAUCAAACCAGUAAUGCUACUGGAUUCUGGACCAAAGUAAGUGAACAUCUAUUUCACAGAAAACCAUCUAUAAUAGCUAGGGACUCUGAGAAUGGCAAUCCAUCAGCCGCAUUUCUGGACUGACCCGAGAUGGGUGGGAGCAGCGGAGCCUUCUCUAAGCCUGAGGCCACACCAUCUGGAGACAGCUGGCCAAGUUAG